GACAGAGGGUGCGAACGUUGUUCGGAAUUACUGGGCGUAAAGCGCAUGUAGGCGGCAGCGCAAGUCGGGCGUGAAAUCCCACGGCUCAACCGUGGAAGUGCACUCGAAACUGCGCAGCUAGAGUCCUGGAGAGGAAGGUGGAAUGCUUGGUGUAGAGGUGAAAUUCGUAGAUAUCAAGCGGAACACCGGUGGCGAAGGCGGCCUUCUGGGAGGGUACUGACGCUGAGACGCGAAAGCGUGGGGAGCAAACAGG
rnacentral:rRNA from 1 species